rnacentral:other from 1 species
ACCGGAAUGGAGCCGGAAAGCAUCAGGAUGAUGCAGCUUCAGGAUGAAGAUAGGGAUGCGCUCAGCGAAGAGCGAUGGAGGGCGUCAGGAGAUGCUUAGGAUGUUUCAGGAUUGAAAUCAAGGAAACCUCCAGGACGGAGACUGAGAGCGGUUCCACAGGACGAUAACGCAUCUGGGCUGAGAAAAAUUUAAACCAGAUGUAAUCUGACAGACACCUGUAUAAAUAAUCGGUAACUGUCAGAUCAGGUCUGAGCUAAUACAUCUCUGGCAUUUUACUUCU